rnacentral:rRNA from 1 species
GACGAACGCUGGCGGCGUGCCUAACACAUGCAAGUCGAACGGAAGUAAGUGCUUCGGUAUUUACUUUAGUGGCGAACGGGUGAGUAACGCGUGAGGAACCUGCCUUUCAGUGGGGGACAACAGUUGGAAACGACUGCUAAUACCGCAUGACGCUUCUUGGGGGCAUCCCCGAGAAGUCAAAGCUUUAUGUGCUGAAAGAUGGCCUCGCGUCUGAUUAGAUAGUUGGCGGGGUAAUGGCCCACAAGUCGACGAUCAGUAGCCGGACUGAGAGGUUGACCGGCCACAUUGGGACUGAGAUACGGCCCAG